rnacentral:hammerhead_ribozyme from 1 species
AUCCAGCUGACGAGUCCAAUAUAGGACGAAACGGGUGUGCUACAU